GGGCAGCUACCCAGCAAUGGGAUGCGAAUCUCGAAAGCCUGUCUCAGUUCGGAUUGGAGGCUGAAACCCGCCUCCAUGAAGUUGGAUUCGCUAGUAAUCGCGCAUCAGCCAUGGCGCGGUGAAUACGUUCCCGGGCCUUGUACACACCGCCCGUCAAGCCAUGGGAGCCGGGGGUGCCUGAAGUUCGUGACCGCAAGGAGCGACUUAGGGCAAAACUGGUGACUGGGGCUAAGUCGUAACAAGGUACC
rnacentral:rRNA from 1 species